UACGUAGGGGGCAAGCGUUGUCCGGAAUCAUUGGGCGUAAAGCGCGUGUAGGCGGCCAGGUAAGUCCGUUCUGAAAGCCCGGGGCUCAACCCCGGGAGGCGGAUGGAUACUGCUUGGCUCGAGUCCGGAAGAGGCGAGUGGAAUUCCCGGUGUAGCGGUGAAAUGCGUAGAUAUCUGGAGGAACACCGGUGGCGAAGGCGGCAUCCUGGACCAACACUGACGCUGAGGAGCGAAAGCCAGGGGAGCAAACGGG
rnacentral:rRNA from 1 species